UAAGUAUAAUUAAUUUGCAAAAAAGUGUGAGGGGAGUUGUGCAUCUCUUUCCAGCCUGUUUGUGCCAAAACUUGUCAUUUUUCUGGCAUUGUUUGGCUUUUUUAUUAUAUAUGCCAAACUUGCUUGCUCUUCGCACACCACCAUACGAGGGGGCUCAAGCAUGCCUGGCUCUGGUACGUUCCCGCUUCCCCCGCGGCCUGAAGCUCGACUCAAAACACGUUCGAUGAAUUUGGACAAUUCCCAAUAUUAACUUUCAAGGUUAGUCGGACAUUGACGUUUUGUUUGCUCGCGAUUCGCUGUUCAAGGUUGAUUCUUUUUUUACCGAGGAAGCGGUGAGGGCGAGGUCGGCGGGCUGGUAUAUUUUGAUUCUUGCAAUCAUUUGUGGGCCGCGGGGCAGGCUCCGGUGUCGUUUGGGCUGUCGACAAAAGUUCUUGCCGCCCAAGAAUACCUGGCGAAAUGAAUGUGGGGCAGUAAAAAGCUUAACCAGAGGUGAUUUACAAGAAAAGAACUUGAUUUCGAUGGAAUGGUGAUGAUGAUGAUAGAACACGGCGUCCGGAGGCUUAAGAUUUCGCCAGUCAAAUGUAUGUCAUGCUGACUGGGGGGACGACGUCUGCUGACUUAAUUUCCGAAUGACGAACCGCAGUCUCCUGCUCGAGAAGCUUUUUUUCUUGUAUUCUGAAAUGUUUGGAUUUCUUGUUAUCGAAUAUUGCUAAUAACAAAUCAA